rnacentral:rRNA from 1 species
GAUGAACGCUGGCGGCGCGCCUAACACAUGCAAGUCGAACGGCACCCCUCCUCGGAGGGAAGCGAGUGGCGAACGGCUGAGUAACACGUGGAGAACCUGCCCCCUCCCCCGGGAUAGCCGCCCGAAAGGACGGGUAAUACCGGAUACCCCGGGGUGCCGCAUGGCACCCCGGCUAAAGCCCCGACGGGAGGGGAUGGCUCCGCGGCCCAUCAGGUAGACGGCGGGGUGACGGCCCACCGUGCCGACAACGGGGAGCCGGGUUGGGAGACCGACCGGCCAGGUUGGGACUGAGACACGGCCCAGGCUCCUACGGGAGGCAGCAGGGGGGGAUCUUGCGCAAUGGGGGGAACCCUGACGCAGCGACGCCGCGUGCGGGACGGAGGCCUUCGGGUCGUAAACCGCUUUCAGCAGGGAAGAGUCAAGACUGUACCUGCAGAAGAAGCCCCGGCUAACUACGUG